GAUCAUGUACCCAAUGUUGAUGCCGGGAUUAGUCUGCAAAACUAAUUUAACGCAGGUUCGAUUCCUGUCAUGAUCU
rnacentral:tRNA from 1 species